GAAAUGCGAUAAGUAAUGUGAAUUGCAGAAUUCAGUGAAUCAUCGAAUCUUUGAACGCACAUUGCACCCGCCAGUACUCUGGCGGGCAUGCCUGUUCGAGCGUCAUUUCAACCAUCAAGCCCCCGGCUUGUGUUGGGGACCUGCGGCUGCCCGCAGGCCCUGAAAAACAGUGGCGGGCUCGCUGUCACACCGAGCGUAGUAGCAUACAUUCUCGCUCAGGGCGUGCUGCGGGUUCCGGCCGUUAAACGACCUUCAUAACCCAAGGUUGACCUCGGAUCAGGUAGGAAGACCCGCUGAACUUAAGC
rnacentral:misc_RNA from 1 species